GGAUGACCCAUCGAUACAACCUCAAAAAAAUCCUUCUCCAACCCUUUACCAACAGGAACAGGAGAAGAACAGGCCAGGGAAAGUCCAUGGGGCAUAAGGACUCAACCCCCAGAUCCGGGCCCCACCAGACAACCGAGAUCCUACACGCGAGGAAUCAACUGACCUUGGAAAGUCAAACUGCAGAACUCACCCAUGCAGGGUUUAGUCCAGCCGUCUUCCUUCCUACCAGCUGCGUGUCCAGCAACAACGAAUCUAAGCCCUUGCCGGGUAGCUCAGUU